UGUUCCUCCACGCUGUCGUCGAGACUCAACACUGAAGAGUGAAGACUGCCUCGGUGCCUCCUCGUCGCCCAUCGGCUGCCUCCUGUCCUCCCAGUCGCCGUCGCCCAUCGGCUGCCUCCUCCAUUGACCAGUCCUCCCAGUCGCCGUCGCCCAUUGGCUGCCUCCUCCAUUGACCAGUCCUCCCAGUCGCCGUCGCCCAUCGGCUGCCUCCUCCGGUCAUCCCAGUCGACCGUCAUCGUCGCCCAUCAGCUGUCUCCCAGUCCCCACCCAUCAGAUAUACCACUUGGCUGUCAUCUGGACUUGCUGUACGUCAGAAGGGUACUUCGAGCUCAGGUGCUGGUUCUGAAUGGGGUCUUGUUCCAGCCUAGAUGAUUUUAUUUAUGUAAGUCAGGUUCUCAAAUAACUUUUCUUUGAGUAUUGCUUGCUAAGUUUGUUCUAGUGAGAUGUUCACUUACUGAGUUUUAGGCAAAUUGCUGUUACUAUCUCCACGAAAUACCUGCUGUCAGGCUUUUGUUUUUGGUUAAUCUAGAUGUACAAUAGCCGCUACAUAGGAUCGAUUGCUUGGGUUUGCAUUUAACAGUCUGGCUUACUUAUUUGACUAAACGGAUCUAGAUUUUGGCCAGUUCAGUGUUGAAGGCAUGCCAUACUGUAGAGACAAUAGUUAUAAUAAUCUUGCAUUAUUUGUUUGUGUGUGUGUUUGUCUAUGUGCAUUUGGAUUUUGGGGGAUAAGCGGGAGAGAGAGAAAGAGAGGGGUGUCUGCUUUAUAAGUGUUGUGUUAUCAAAUUUUACGCAGGAAGUUCCUUUAGCUGAAGAUAGGAUGAAUUUUAAUAAGUGGAAUUUUUCUGUUUUGAACUUCCAAGUGUUGAAUGACAUUGGUGUUCUAGUCUCUGAAAUUACUAGUGAAUUUUUGGAGAAAGUGUUUUUGGAGAAAGUGCUUCAGCUUCUUGCAUCCUGUCCUGUUGAAGUGGAGGUUAGUUAAUCUUCUCUUGUUUUCAUAUGUUUGUUUCUUUCAACAAGUUGCAACUUAUUUUAUCUUAGCUAUUAUUUAUCAAAAGUUUCAAUAAGUCCGUUCCUAUGAUAUUGUGCAUCUUAAUGGUCAUUUUUAUUGUUUUGGUUAUUUACAUGUGUCAUUUCAACUUAUGUCCUGGUUCUUUUGAUAAAAAAUAUUGUCCAACUUCUAAUAUGGAAUCAGUCGAAUCAUCUACCGAGAGAGAAGUUGUCUCCAAGAGAAAAAUGACUUCAAAAGUAUAGAUUGAUUUUAUAUUGGUUACAUAUAAAGGAGAAGAGUUUGCCAAAUGUAAACAUUGUGGAGAACGACUGAAAGCAAGCAGUGCUCAUGGAACUAGCCAUUUAAGUCGACAUAAUAAAUCUUGUUUAAAUAGGCAAAUAAAUGAAGGAAAGCAAAGAACUUUAUCACUUGCAGUUAAUGACUCUAGUGCAACUUCUAUAGGUAUACAAAAAUUUGACAUGGAGUCUAUAAGAAAGUUGAUGUCAAAGUGUGUAAUAACACAUGAGCUUUCGUUCAAUUUGGCAGAAUAUAAAUAUCAUAACAAACUUCUACAAGCUUGCAACCAUAAGUUCGUUCCAUUUUCUAGAAGAAUUUUGAAAAGAGAAAUUAUGUCAGUACAAGACUGAGAAAGCCCGACUUGAAGAAUUUAUAAAUGAUUCUACGCAGCGAGUUUCAUUGACAUUUGAUAUGUGGACUUCACAGCAGACAUUGGGUUAUCUAUGCGUGACAGGACAAUAUGUUGAUAGAUAUUGAAAGUUGCAUGCUCACAUGUUCAGUUUUGUACAUGUACCUCCACCACAUAAUGCAAAUAGUUUGUGUGAGGCUUUAUUAGAAUGCAUCUCUAAAUGGAACAUUCAAUCAAAGUUAUUUUCUAUUACUGCUGACAAUUGUUCGACGAAUGAUAGUACAAUAACUACACUGAAAAGGAACUUAGGAAGAAGAAAUCUUAUUCCAAAAUAUAUUAUCUUGAUGAAAGGCAAAUGAAAGUAAAUAUAGAGUUUUAUCCAAAAUGGCUUGAGAUAUCUUGGUAGUCCUUAUAUCCAUAGUUGCAUCUGAGUAUGCAUUCAGUACAGCUAGAAGAAUCAUUAAUGAUUAUCGAUGUUCAACAACUCCUGAAACUGUUGAAGUACUAGUUUGCACACAGAGUUGGAUUCGUGAUGAAGAUAUCCCAUGUGAAACUUUUGAAGAUAAGGAAGAAUCUUCUGGUGACAAAUUAGCAUGAAUUAUAUUUCAUUGUGUGAAAACACAUAUGAAGGAGAAGGAUGUCACAUAACAAAGCUUGAUCAGAUUUUGCUCAAUGGAAAGACAACGCAUAUGUUGCUUUUGUUUGCUCAGCCCUCAUAAUAUAUAUGUAGCAUGCUAUGUGGGUGGGAUUUGUACUCUUUUCCUGCCUUGGUUGUUAAGGUGGUUUGAGAUCUUGUAAGUUUGGAAAGGAAGAUAUCAUGUGCUGUCUGGAUAGCUGGUAUUAUCACUAAUAUGGAGAUACAGUGUUCAAUCAUGUACUUUAACACUAUUGGAAAACAAUUGCACAUGCUUAUGGAUUUCUUUUAUACUAAGACUGCUUUGCUUUGUACUUGGGUUCUAAACGUAGAUGCUAUUAUGUUCUUGAUUUUGUGGAGCUUUAAAAUACUUCAUGAGUCCGUACUCUACGCCCAUGUAACUAUGUAAGG